rnacentral:rRNA from 1 species
UACGAAGGGAGCUAGCGUUGUUCGGAAUCACUGGGCGUAAAGCGCACGUAGGCGGAUGUGUCAGUCAGGGGUGAAAUCCCGGAGCUCAACUUCGGAACUGCCUUUGAUACAGCACGUCUUGAGUCCGGAAGAGGUGGGUGGGAUUCCUAGUGUAGAGGUGAAAUUCGUAGAUAUUAGGAAGAACACCGGUGGCGAAGGCGGCCCACUGGUCCGGUACUGACGCUGAGGUGCGAAAGCGUGGGGAGCAAACAGG